UUAACGCUAGCGGCAGGCAUAAUACAUGCAAAUUGAACGGCAGCACAGGUAGCAAUACUGGGUGGCGAGUGGCGCACGGGUGCGUAACACGUAUGCAACCUACCCUAUACAGGCGAAUAACCUUUAGAAAUGAGGGCUAAUACGCCGUAGUAUUACAGAUGGGCAUCUAUUUGUAAUUAAAGAUUUAUCGGUAUAGGAUGGGCAUGCGUCCCAUUAGUUAGUUGGUAAGGUAACGGCUUACCAAGACGAUGAUGGGUAGGGGAUCUGAGAGGACUUACCCCCACACUGGUACUGAGACACGGACCAGACUCCUACGGGAGGCAGCAGUAAGGAAUAUUGGGCAAUGGCCGCGAGGCUGACCCAGCCAUGCCGCGUGCAGGAAGACGGCCUUAUGGGUUGUAAACUGCUUUUAUACGGGAAUAAUAGAGUGUACGCGUACAUUUAUGCAAGUAUCGUAUGAAUAAGCAUCGGCUAACUCCGUG
rnacentral:rRNA from 1 species